rnacentral:rRNA from 1 species
GCGUGGGUGAAGAAGGUCUUCGGAUUGUAAAGCCCUUUCGGCGGGGACGAUGAUGACGGUACCCGCAGAAGAAGCCCCGGCUAACUUCGUGCCAGCAGCCGCGGUAAUACGAAGGGGGCUAGCGUUGCUCGGAAUUACUGGGCGUAAAGGGCGCGUAGGUGGCUCUGUUAGUCAGGCGUGAAAUUCCUGGGCUCAACCUGGGGGCUGCGCUUGAUACGGCAGGGCUUGAGGGUGGAAGAGGCUCGUGGAAUUCCCAGUGUAGAGGUGAAAUUCGU